AGCAGAACACAGUGGUCUCUUUGAAUUGAGCCCCUUCAGAAUGUAACUCUUGAGUUCCAGUUUGAUGUUUCACGAGUCCUCAUACAGAGGUGUAUUCACUUCAGUGGCCUUUUGGAAAGAUAACUAUUUGCUAAACAUCCAUCAGACCUGAAGCAGCCUGUGUGCUUUUGCAUGUGUAGUCAAAGCGCCUGAGUCAGACCUGCUGUGUUCAAAUACCGUGCCACAUGGGUGAAGUUUGCAUGUUGCAACUAUUCUAUUGGUCGAUUGCGCCANNNNNNNNNNUGUGAAUCCCUUGGUGUCAUGUGACCUACAGACGACCAUCACUUGAACUUCUACUAAUAGCUUCUCUCUCUCUCUCACCAAACUGUGUUACACAAAUACAGGUAGAUCAGGUACGUGACUCUGCCCAGUCAUCUGCAUGCUCCCUGUAAAUACCCUGCAUUAUGCUAAACAUUCUAAAAACGUGUUCAUGGUUACUGUCUCCAUGGCAGCCUGACAACAGUGCACGAGCCGGCCCCUAAACACCAGAGCCUGUGAUAAUCCUGUGACACCACCAGGCUUCCCUCCACACACACACACACACACACGUUCUUUAGGUGCCCUUUGCGCUGCUGAAUGCAAUCCUGUUGUUGCUAUGUUUUGUUGCUUUAGCCCCGAAAACAACAACAACACCCUGAAAUGCACUCUUGGUAAGAGCAGAGCAGAACACAGUGGUCUCUUUGAAUUGAGCCCCUUCAGAAUGUAACUCUUGAGUUCCAGUUUGAUGUUUCACGAGUCCUCAUACAGAGGUGUAUUCACUUCAGUGGCCUUUUGGAAAGAUAACUAUUUGCUAAACAUCCAUCAGACCUGAAGCAGCCUGUGUGCUUUUGCAUGUGUAGUCAAAGCGCCUGAGUCAGACCUGCUGUGUUCAAAUACCGUGCCACAUGGGUGAAGUUUGCAUGUUGCAACUAUUCUAUUGGUCGAUUGCGCCAGGCAAGCUCAAUCAAGGACCAGCUAAAGUAUUUACAAUUAUUUCAAAUAGUAUUUGAACCCAGGUCUUGACUCUAGAGGUGCUCUGUCCCAACGUUGGAAGUGUUAAAGGGAGGUGUUGUGUUGGUGUUGUAGCCAUGGCAACAUAAACAGGAGUAGCAGGUAGUUUGUCAACAGAGAUUAGAACAUGGGCCUAUAUACUGUAUGUUCCCGUGUGGCUCAGUUGGUAGAGCGUGGCACUUGCUACAGCCUGGGCUGUGGAAUUGAUUCUCACGGGGGACCUGUAUGAAAAUGUAUGCACUCACUACUGUAAGUUGCAGAGCGUCUGAUAAAUGACUAAAAUAUAUAUUUUUAUGUAAGCGUGUUAGGUAAAGGCUUUAGAGAGAG
rnacentral:lncRNA from 13 species